GAAGAAGAAGAAGAAGAAGGAAGAUCGGCGCUAGUGCAUCAUUCACAGGCCUGUCAGGUUGGUUUUGUCAGAUGUAAAGGAAUAUCCUGUUUGUUUCCCUCUCUGUUCUGUGGUGGAAAAAAAAAAUCUGAAGCCGCCCGUGGCCGCAUUUAAGGGUCAGCAUUAUGGCUGAACUGAAAAAUUAAAAAAUAAAUUAAAAAAUGUAAAAAUCAAAUCCAACCAAUUUUACUAAAGGAAUUAAUCAAAUUGGUAAUUCAAUUUUU
rnacentral:misc_RNA from 1 species